AUGCAUGCUUUUUUUCUUCUUAUUUCACAUAAAUUGAAUUUGUGUUAUUGGCAGCUCAGGACACUACUAAAAAUCUCUUUCUAGUGCAGGUGUUAGUUUACCACGAUCUACUAGGAAUGAUGCAACACCCACAUCAUGCCAAGGUAACCCCCAAAUUCUGCAAGCAGUAUGGGCAAGUUGGAGAUGUCAUUAACAAGGCUCUUUCAGAGUACAAGGAAGAAGUAACAAAUGGUUCAUUCCCAGGCCCUGCCCACAGCCCGUAUAAAAUUAGUGCCACCGAUGUUGAUGGUUUUUUGAAAUGAGCUGCAAAAGUUGGGUUUGGACAAGGCUGCAUCAGCAGCUGCUACAGCGGCUGAGAAGAUUGAGAAUGCUGAAUCACCUGAUGUAGGGAGCCCAACAAGCAAUUGAUUUAUAGGACCAGAUCACCAAGUGUAGCAGUUGACAUCCUCCAAAUUUUCAUUUCGUGAUCAGGAAAAAAGAGCCAAAUAACAGUAUUGUAGUGCCAGUUUUGUAGCCAAAGCUAACACCAUAUUGAGGUCUUCCAUCUCUGUUCAGCAACAAAGGUCUUAAGUUCCAAAGGGUGUCUUGCGACCU